CCUGCAUGAAGCCGGAAUUGCUAGUAAUGGCAGGUCAGCAUACUGCCGUGAAUACGUUCCCGGGCCUUGUACACACCGCCCGUCACACCAUGAGAGUUGGGGAUACCCAAAGCCCGUGAGCCAACUUUAAAAGAGGCAGCGGUCUAAGGUAGAAUCAAUGAUUGGGGUGAAGUCGUAACAAGGUAUC
rnacentral:rRNA from 1 species